ensembl:ncRNA F17A9.7 ncRNA
UCAAAGAGAGAAAGUCCGGUGUAUAAGUGUGUGUGUGGGAAGAGAGAAAGUAUGAAAUUCGAAAAUGAAAGUCGUCCUCUCACUGACCUAAUUCUCUUGAUUUCACUGCUUCCCGUUGCGCGCGCGCCCUCCCGCAAAAGGGGUCAUCGGUCGGACGGUCCGAAGAGGGGGUGACCAGAGGCGAUCCGUCCAUUCGUCCCAGGCAUACGGAGAAUUAUGCAAUGUUGUGUUGGUACGAGUCGGAACGAGUGAAAGUUGCGUUGAAAGGAAGCGGUCGGAUUUUGACUGAAAACGACGGACAUACUGACCAACACAGCUAAUUGUUCGAGGGAGGGAUGCGGGAUGAUGAUGAUGAAGGGGAAA